rnacentral:rRNA from 1 species
UACAGAGGGUGCGAGCGUUAAUCGGAAUUACUGGGCGUAAAGCGUGCGUAGACGGUUAUUUAAGUCGGGUGUGAAAGCCCCGGGCUCAACCUGGGAAUUGCAUUCGAGACUGAAUAGCUAGGGUACGGUAGAGGGAAGUGGAAUUUCCGGUGUGGCGGUGAAAUUCGUAGAUAUUGGGAAGAACACCGGUGGCGAAGGCGGCUCUCUGGACCGAGACUGACGCUGAGGCGCGAAAGCCAGGGGAGCAAAGCGGG